AAUGUAAUUAUACUAUUUUUUUUUCACUUGGUCUAUGCUAUAUUUCACAACUUUCCUUGAUGACAAGUGCAGUCUAAGCCUUGGAAUUGAAUUAGCAGGAAGUGAACCCAUAAGGUGAUAAAAUAAUGAUGAAGGUUAGAAGGUUCUGAACAAAUAUACCAUAUAGAAGUGUGUCUGUUGUUGUUUCUUAUUUAAUGGAUGAUGCUUAUUCACUUGGUGCUAAUUAGCUCUGUGUUCACUGUAAAAAAAUUAGUUCUUUGUGUUUACUGAAACAUAUGGAUCAAUAAAUAGGGUGCAAUUGAUUCUACCAAUGCUAGUGCUAAAGUUUUUUCUACUGGUUAACUUUUUACAAUUCUGUUGGUUUUUGCUUAUUCAUCCAAUUUAGAUGUGUCUGGUCCUGGUCUGUUCAUAUACUACUGCUACCAAGUCCUGGUCUGUUACAUUGCUGAGUGGUAGAUAUACACUGCUGCUACCCUUUACAGUUUUUCUGAUUUGAUUCUUGCCAAAUUUUGUUGUUAUAAAUUGAACUUAUGGGUACCUUGAUGUUCAUCUGUUGUUGCCCAUUCAGUCCCUUCCUUUUAUGUUGCUUUGAUCAGUUAAUCUUCGUAAUCUGAAUGAGAGAUAUGAGUGGGAAUGUGAAUUGCACAAGGAUCCUGUGUCCUGGGAAAAAUACUUGUAUAAUCACUGCUUGAGGAGGGAGUGUCUACACUUGAUACCUCACAAAAAUUCUCAUUUGCUAAUAUGUGGCUUCUAGCAGCCCAAUUUGAAAUACGUCAACUGAAUCUCAAGGGUGCUCAUGUAAUAUUAGGAAGUGCUAUUGGAAAGGCUCCUAAAGAUAAGAUUCUGAAGAAGUAUAUAGAGAUAGAACUGCAGCUUGGUAACAUUGAUCGAUGCAGAAAAUUGUAUGAAAAAUAUUUGGAGUGGGCGCUUGAAAAUUGCUAUGCUUGGAGCAAGUAUGCAUAAUUGGAGAGAUCUUUAUCUGAGACUGAUCGAGCUAGAUCAAUAUUUGAGCUUGCAAUUUCCCAGCCAGCAUCAGAUAUGCCUGAACUGUUGUGGAAGGUUGUUUGCUUAUGAUCUACCCCAUCGUCUAUCAUCGAUCAGCUAUCCUAUUUUUCCAAUUCAUUUACAGUUGUCAAUUCGUUGCUAUACAGCUUGCAGUUCGUGGCUAAAAAUAUAACUAAGUUGUGAAUGAACCAUUGAGUUCAUAUGCUAUUCACAUUGUUCUAAUUGAUGCCGAGGUUUAGUCCUAACCAUAUAUGUUAAUCUGAUUAGUAUAUAAUUUUUAAUUUAUUUUUCUUUCCCUCUUUUUAAUGAAACUGAGUUUGUGUGCAUUUGUGUUAAUUUGUAAUUUAAUUAUGACUUACAAGUUCUCUUUAGGGGUGUUAGCCUGUUAGGCUAGGAAUCAUUAUUUGGGAUCAAUGAGGAUUGACUUCAAUUGGAGUCCUGGUAUAUUGGUCUUAGUAACUGUAUCAGUAGGAGUUACUUCAUUUACCAUCAACCUUGCCCUGAUGGUAUUAUUUAACCCAUGUCUUCAAUUGGAGUCCUGGUAUUAUUUCCAGAGACUCGGGCAUAAGGAGCAUUGAUUCCCAUUUUAGUUUGUUUAGUCUUUGAAGUUUAUAGAAGAAGUUAUUUAUAUUCAUUAACGAAAUGAAAAAAAUUGCAGUCAUAAUCAUAGUUUAUCUGUGUGGAUGUAGAGGGUGGGGACAUAAACUGUAUAGGAGCAAUUUUCUCAAAAGAAGACAUGGUGAUUAUGUUCACUAACACUGAAAGUAUUAUCAUGAAAGUUUUCCAUCCAAUCACUACACAGGAGAUAUACUGAAAAGUUAGGCAUGAGCUUUGACAAGCUCAUCACUUUAAGUUUCAUUUCUAUUCAUAGUUUUCUGGUUCUGUUUGUUUCAUUCUUCCGCAUGCUUUACUUUCUAUGGUCACUUUGUGGUGGAGCAAACACCACUCUGACACUUCAAAUUAUCCACAUCAUUUAGACCUUGAUUUCAAAAGUGUAAUGCAAUACUUUCUUUAGCCAUCUUUGAGCUGAUAUGUUGUUUUCAGCUGAUAUUUUUUAGCUCUUAAAAACUAAACACAUUUCAUCAUCAUGUUUCAACAACCCAUUAGUUAGUUGUAUAUUAAUGAUUGAUAUCAACAUGUAUCAUGUUGCUAAGAUCCCUCCAAGUAUAUGUUUACUAAUGUUCUAUAUUUAUAAGAUGAUCAGUUAUAUUUUUGGGUUAAAUAUUUAACCUAUGAUUUAUUACUUUUACAAGAUCUUGCCCAAUUUUCUUAUGCUACUGUUUAAGUUGUUGGCACCUCAGGAUCCUUGCAAGAUAUAGAUGAAGUUGAACUCCUUGGAUUUCUCCUGAGGCAAAAUAGGGUGUUGUGUAUGUGGUGGUCUCUACAAACCGUUUGAAUAAGGUCAUCAAGAUGAUAAAGACAAGUGACAGUUAGGUUGGAAAUUAAGCAUUACAUUAGGCAGACUGCUCUGGUGUCUCUCAUUUUCUUUUUAAUGGUUUUUGGUGAAUAUGUAGUGUUCAGAUUUUCCAAUUGUCUUAAAUGUUUGUAAAUGGUUCAAACCCAUGAAGGCUGUAAAGUUUUGUUAGGAUAUGGCAAAUAGGAAGUUUUGUGAUUUUAUUUGUUAAGCUCUUCUACAUUUUUCAUCUUAUCGAUUUAUAAGUAAGCUAGGUCGUACUCAUACUGUUGAAAGCACGUAAGAGAAUAUAUUAAGUCGUUUUUGUUACUUGAUAAACCUUUAUAAGUUGUUAUACAACGGAUGCUCCAGCAUUUUUAAUGAUUCAUAUCAUAAGCACAUAUGUAUCUUUUGUAAUAGUCUAUCUACAUACAUUUAUGGUCUGUCUAAAAACAAACCAUUUAAACGCAUAAAAUGAGCAGUUGUGAUAUGUGUAUACACUUGAAGGAUAAAAAUGCGAACAAAGAAAUAUAAAUAGGUUCCGUGCAUCGCACGGGUAAAAUCCUAGACAGACCCAUUCGAAGCACGGUUUUCACAGGUAAAUUAGGUCUCAUUCAACUCUUCCCAUCUGCAUAUCCACGUUCGUCCACUUUUCUCUCUGUUCUCCAGAUUCUGCCCCCAUUCGAAGCGGCUAGACGAUCAACCGGGCGGCUGUUCACUUGCACGUCGCCGGCGGCGCUCCAAUCGGUCAUAACCACUUCAUUCGUAGUCACGUUGGAAGUUUUAGGAGCUACCAUGACACAAACCAGAUUAUCGAGUCUACCAGAAGGAAACAACAACUUUAUACUUAUCCACCAACCUGACCCGGACUCUGCAACGCUUCCUAGCUGGUUUGUUAGAAAUAACCCCGUUAUCAGGCCGUACCAGAAUGCUCUGCUCACUGAUCUCGCAGGCAACACAUUUUCAGUGAGCCUUAGAACAGUGGGUGGAGAAAUGGUAAUGGAAGGUUUUCAAGAAGUCUGUCAAGCGCACCAUAUCAAUGGAAUUGUUAGGGUGCACUACACCUACAUUAAUGGUAGCCAAUUCAACAUUCGGAUUUUCUAUGAUGAGUACACGAGGUAGCUUACUUAGUUCAAGAGGAAGAGGAUUUGGAUGAUGAAGAGGAGCUUGCCUGGUUGAGUGAUAUCUCCGAGGCAAAGUCAUUUGGAAAGCAAUCUCUGCAUGUUCCUGCGAGUGUUGUGCUUGAGCGUCUUCGACACAAUCCUCCCACACUAAACAUUAUAUUACCAGAUGGAAAUCUAGAUGAGUGGGUACUGCAAUGGGCUAUUGGUAGACCCAAUGCAGUUGAUUUUGGUCAUGGCUGGUACGAGUUUGGUAGGCAGGAACGAAUCCGCGCUAGGGAUCAAUUGCGGUUCUAUGAGACGCCUGAGACAGACACGUACCGCCUUGAAGUUCGCCGCCACUAGAUCAUUAAAGGGUUAUGUACUUUUAAUUGUGAUGUUUAUUUCAGAUGACUUUAAUUACCUUAUGUUCGUUUUUCAAUUUUAUUUUGUAUUGUGUGUUGAGUUUGUAAAACUGUGUUGUUAACUUUCAUCUCUCAUAAGCCCAAGGGUAUGCCACUUAUGUUCAAAACAAUUGCUAUAUCUUCGGAUUUGGAUUACGGCAUGUACCAAGGCUGCUUUGUAUCACUCUAUUAUGAACUAUUUGCUAUGUCUUAUGUGUUAUUAAUUAUGGCAUGAGCCUUAAGGUUAAGCUCUUAAUCGCAA